GAUCUUUUAAAUCAUUCUAUGAUUAAUUUAAUCCUUAGUGAAAAGAUGAUAUUCCUCAAAUAGCC
rnacentral:tRNA from 1 species